rnacentral:lncRNA from 12 species
AUGAAGCUGUUUGGACUGUAUUUCUCUGCUGUCUGGAUAUUGUGCUGCUGCUAUCUUGGCUGUGGCGGAGGUCAAGGUGUGUGCAGUAAAGGGAAGCUUGUUACAAGAAUCAAUUUAACCACAGAACUGCAUUCUGAAAUCCUGCUGCCGUGCCUUUUUGAACAAGCUCUCACUGGAUCAAACCUGACCAUGAAUCCAGAAGCUGUGUGGACUCAGAUAAAUGAAACCAUUGACCACAUUGUAGAGAUCAAAGUAAAUAAUCCUGUAAACUUCUGGAAUAGCAGAAACAAUAGAAUUAAGGUAUCCGGUGCUCCUGCCACUGGAAACUUCUCCAUCCUGAUUAGAGAUGUGCAGCUGUCUGAUCUGGGUCUCUACCACUGUGAACUCUACAGAGAUAACUGUUCUCUGGGCUAUAAAGAGAUAGAAAUCAGUCUGGCUGCUGUUGAGUUUUCACUGCUCAAUAACUGGCAGCUCAUAGUUGCAGGAGGAGGAGGAUUUUUGCAUCUCUUUAUGAUCACUGUGUGUGUUUACUAUACAUGGACAAAACAUGAGUCUGAUAAAUCUGCUAUGAGACCUUGUCCAGCAAUUGAUGCGAUGACCUACACAACAGUUGUCUAUGAGGGACUGGCAUGA